AAAUCAAUCACAUGUUUUUGGAUAACCCCGCGUGUCUAAAAUCGAUCAUUUCCACAGAUAAUCAUAAUAAAUUAAUUACCAAGAUAUUUCAGACUUCCUUUUUCAUACUUUACAAACUGGUGUAUCUUUUAUACUCAGAACUCACCCCCACCAGGACCAGCAACGUUUCCAGAGCUCUGUGUCCCCACAUGGCUGCGGUGCUGGCAGCACAGAUCUAGGGAGUCAUUUAGUCACGUUGAAGUCUCUGGGUCUAGCCUUCUUCCCACCUGCUUCCAAAUGGUUUGUUAAAUAGCAGUAGAUCAGGAGGUACUUGAACAGUGGGAAGUCUAAACUCUUCUCCUCCCAAAAGGAAGGAUUUGAAAUGGGCGUUAUAAAAAUUUAGAAAUCUCAUGCUUUAUCACAAAUUCUCCCACCUGACAGUAAGAUAUAGUAACCAUCUUUGACCACAUAAAACCAACAGCAAACUUCAGCCUGUACUAGUGAGAAUUAUUACCUACUAAAACAUGCUUGUUAUUAAAUACAUUUUUAAAAAAGCUAUUCCACAGUAUUUAGACAGAUACAUCCUUUUAUUUAGAAAACUGCAUCUGGAAAUAAUCCUCAGCAAGUGGCCUAUUAAGGCAAAUAUGCAAUACUAAAUGUUCUAUUAUUAAAUUAGACACUUGAAUAGGGGAACAUUUAUUAUUCUCUGGGUACAAACAUUCGAGAUUGAGAAUAAUUGUUUUUUAAUUCAGGAAAAGUACUUACUGAUGCUUUUGUAUGUGUGUUUCAUGAAGUAUGCAGAAUUGUUAGAAUUAGAUGAUCAAAGUAGACCAGCCUUUGGUCCUCACACAUAAUCUGUGUUACUCUUUGAAUUGUGAGCUUUUUGGGGAUAUAGCAUAAGAGAUGAAAAAUGCACAGGAUUUGAGGUCAGAGACCCACUUCCUUUGCUGUGAAACCAUGGAGAAAAUGUGUUGAAUUUCUCCCAGGCUCAUAGUUUUCAGUCCAUUACCUGGAGAUAAAAGCACUGUUUUCACAGAGACCUUAUGAAUAUUGAACUUGACCUUGAACAUCAAGAACGGAUCACAACGUCUAACACACAGUGGCAGCAAGAAGAGGUGCCACCCUCAUAAGUGAGCGUCCCAUUCCUGAGGGGAAAUGUAAACACUUUGCUACGGAGUAGAUCUGAUGUGAGUCUGGGCAGUGUUUGCCCCAUGGCCGCUGCCGGAAGGACUCGUGAAACAGAUGAAAGGGAACACUCAGACAGCGUUAUGGCCAGGUGCAUGGGAACACACAGGAGCUGCAUCUCUUACCCUCCUUCUUAGGGAUAAGGGCUGGAGGCAGACAUCUAUUAAAUAACCUGAGACACCACACCUCUUCCUUUCACGGUUGCCAUAGGGAAGUCAGGGGUCCAUCUCAUGAUGGCUUCUUUGCAAGCAAUCUGCCUUUGUUUUUCUCUCCGGUUGUUCAGAUUUCUCUCUUGGUUGGGUUUCUGGAGUUUCCCAAUGAUAUAUCUAGGUUUGGUUUUCUUUUUAUUUACUAACUUGGGAUACCUUAGACUUCUGAAAUCUGUGGUUGGCUAUCUUAGCUCAGUUCUGGAAAUUUAUCAUCCUCUAUUCCCUUAAAUAGUUCCUCUUUCCAUGCACCCCCAAUGAAAGUUCAAGUUUGUCUGUACUGGCAACUAUUUUUAGGGCAAAAGUGACUCUGUCCAGGUGUGUCUCUCUGGGUUUGCAAUUUUUUAAUAUUUAUUUAUUUAUUUUUUUAGUUUUCGGUGGACAUAACAUCUUUGUUUUAUUUGUAUAUGGUGCUGAGGAUCAAACUCAGCGCCCUGCACAUGCCAGGCUAGUGCGCCACUGCUUGAGCCACAUCCCCUGCCUGAGAGUUUGCAAUUUUCAUGGGCCUUUAGCUCAGCCAUUCCUUUCUACCUGCUGCUCUUUGAUGCUGUUAGAAGUUUUCAAAUAUUUUAUCCAGCACUUUUAGCUACAUUCUGUAGAAUUUGAACAAUCUAGCUCACCAUUGCCAAACAAAUAAAAAAUUUAAAAUGUUUAAAUAUACUCCAUGUGGAAUCAAAUUGGGGGCAGAUAGCAAAGAGGUAGGAAUCUAACUUUCCCUAAAUAUAUGGUCAAUUUUAUCAUUGUAUUUGAAGGGUAAAUAACUUCUGCAUCUAUUCAAUAACUUCUGCUCUAUGCCACAUUUUCAUAUAGCAAGACCCCAGUUAUAAUUUAAAGCUUUUUUUAAGCUCUUAAUGCUGCUUAAUUUAUUCAAUUAAAUUAAACCAAUUUCAUCCUGUUUUAAUUACUAUACAUAAUGGAAUAUAUGUAUAUAUUUGUAUCUUCCAGGGUGAAAUUUUACCCUCAUUAUUCUUAAGUAUAGGACAAUACAGUAAAUGGUUACUAUCUUAUUAUACUUAACUCUUCAACAUUAAUCCUACUCAUAGAUAUGUGAAAUAUGUAUGACUUGUUUUGCUAGUUGCUGGAGAUACAAAGAAGUAUAACAUAGCUGGGUAUGUGGUACAUGCUUAUGUGACUUGGAAGGCUGAGACAGGAGGAUUGCAAGUUUGAAGCCAGCCUCAACAACUAAGCGAGAUCCUGUCUUAAAAUUACAGAUAAAAAAAGGACUGGGGAUGUAGCUCAGUGGUAAAGCACCCCUGGGUUCAGUUCCCAGUGUAACCCUCCUUCAAAAGAAAAAAAAAAAGAAAUUUAACAUAAAAUACUAGCUUUGGUGGAUUUUAUACUCAUAAGCAGAAAAGAUAUAUUGUUAGGAAAAUGAAGAAACUACAUGAGUUAAAUAACAAAGGCAAAUUAUAGAGGGAAAGAUGUGUCAUAUGGUAAUGACCAAGUACUAUGAGUUCAAAGCAAAAAUGCCUAUGAACUGGGAUGUUCUGGUUUGGCUUUUUGGAUACUAAAGAAUUUGACUUUGAAUGAUAGGUUGAUGGAGAGCCUGGAAUCGGGGGGACUUAUGCAAGGUCAUUUAUAUCCGUGGCUUUGUGAGUAGACCGUGCCAUCAGUGGGGGUGGUCUUGAAAAGUGGGAAAUGAUAUUUGAGAGGUAAGUUGGCACUAGAUUACCCCAGAUCUUUAUCAUCCAGUGGAUUAGUUUUCUAUAGCUGCUGUAACAACUUAGUACCUUAAAACAACACGUUUGUUGCCUUACAGUUCUGGGGGUCAGAAGUCCAAAAUGGGUCUCCCUGGGCUAGAGCAGGGUGGUGGCAGGCUGUGAGUUUCUGCAGCCGCUGGGGGAGAAUCCGCUUUGUGGCCUCUUCAGGUCCUGGAGGCUGCCGGGAUGCCCUGGCUCACAUGCCCUCCACGGCAAAGCCAGCGUGGGCUCUCACCGUUUUCCCCACGCCAUUACCUCGACACCCAGUCCUCUGCUUCCCUCUUGCGUAGACUGUAAUGACCCACCCAGAUAAUCUAGAGCCAUUUCCUUACAUUUAAGGUCAGCUGAUCAGCAGCCUCAAUUCCCUUGAAAACGGAAAGCCUCCUUGCCCCGUGUGAUGGUCAGUAGUAUGUGUCCACUUGGUGGGCUAUCGUGUCCAGGUGUUCAUGGAAACUCUAAGGGUUGCCACGAAGGUUAACAUCCACACCCAACCGACUUUAAGUCAAGGAGUGUAUUAUCAGUGUAUGGGGAAGGCCUCCCCUCAUCAGGUGAAAGGCCUGAAGCAAUCACUGAGGUUUCCCAGCAGAAGAAGUUCUGCUCAGGACUCGGUGUCCAUUCCUGCCCGAGAGUCAAGACUGAUGGCCUGCCCACAGGGUGGGACUGGCCAAUCCCUCCUGGCUAACGUAAAUGGAUUCAUGCAGAAAUCCAUGUGGAUAGGAAAUGCACCUUAUUACAUUCUAUACACACACCAUGCACACAGGUACACAUAACCUUGGGGGGCAUUGUUCUGUCCAGCACAGCUGGCUAAAGAGUUGACUUCUUUGGUUCAAGAUGUCAUUGACGAGCUGUGAGUGGGCUGUGGCAGGGCUGGGAAGGGUAGUCAUGCGCACUCAGUCUUCUGAAUUGCACUCUCCUGCUUAGGAACGGGCCUUGGGCCUGGAGCACAUCCUUACCAGGAGAUCCAGCGUUCUCCCAGCAUGUGUGGGGCUUGUCACCUGUGUGGGGCUUGUCACCUGUGUGGGGGUGUACUGCCAUUUCAGACUCAGUCGGUGCUCCUGUUCUGCCUCAGUGUGGGUCCAUCACGUGGCACCUGUAUGGCCCACGGCUCUAGCUGUCCUCUGGAGGAGGGUCCUUCUGCAGCAGCAGGAGACGGGGUGUGCAGGUUAGUGGCCCUGGGUUGGCUGCUGGAAGGUGUCCUGGCCUGUGGGAACGGUGCCCCUCACCAAAGCUCACCUUGCCAUCCCUUCUCUCGCUCCAUCGUGUUUUCCUCCGUGACCGAGAGCAGCCCGCAGCGGCAGGAGUGCUUGGACUUCUGCUCCCGGUGGUAGGCAACAGAUGCCGCUGGAGCGACAGAUAGGAUGAAAGAUUAAUUUUACCAUGCUGUGUCGGACUCAGUGUGUGCUGAGGGACAGACACAUCUAGCUGCAAAGAGAUGUGGUUCUGGGUCGGAGCAGGAAUGAAAAGUAAAGUGUUUCAAAGGCUCCGGAAAUAAGAAUGAAUAGAGAUUGCCCUUAAUUUUAUAUGGAGGGAGCGGGUAGGACAGAUAGACGAUUUUAAACCCGUAGUCAUUUGAAAAAUUUCCAGGUUCAGGGGAUGGCCACCAUGCCAUUAAUUUAAGCAGGCAAAAAUUAAUAUAAAGGAUCUUUAAUUAGUAAAAGGCAGUUAGCUGUCAAUAGGGGUAAGAUGGUGUCUGUCUUGGGAGGCAGAAAACCACAGCUACUGCAUCUAUGACUGAGGGAAGGUGAGCAGGAAAAGAGCUUUGCAACUUAGAAGGGCCUGUAGGAGACCUCUGUGGAGACGCUAUGGGAGCCACAGAUGUGCAUCCUGCCAGGGGUGGAUGGGGCAGGCCGAAGCUGGUACCCAGGAACAUGUGUCUCCAAGUGGCAGAGAACGUGCUGCAAGGGCAGCCCAGGCUGGUCUGGCCUGUGCGGACCCGAGGCUACAUGCUACAGGACCUCUGCAGGGUGCUUGGGAAGAAAAGAAGAAGGGUCCCUUCUUCCUUGUUUGGCCUUGCAGCCUGGCCCCUGUCCCCCCUGAGAACGAAACGACCAUCAGGCUAACUGCCAAAAGGGAAAUGACAAGGCCCAGUUCCAGUGUCUGUGAGCUGAGCAAGGAAAAGUGGGCGUCAGCAGAGGAACAAUAAAUCAACCAGUAGCACAGCUUCUGUUAUUCAAAAGUUUGCUAGGAAAAUAGCAGUCAGUGGAGAUUACAGAAAGGUGACGAGAGGUGACAAGAUCACACCAAGAUGAAGUCCUUCAUUUAACAGGCCUUUGGGGACAGUGAGUAGAAAAUAAAUCUCCAACUUUCUUUCUUUUUUUUUUUUUAAAGAGAGAGAGAGAAUUUUUAAAAAUAUUUAUUUUUUUUUAGUUCUCAGCGGACACAACAUCUUUGUUGUAUGUGGUGCUGAGGAUUGAACCCAGGCCGCACGCAUGCCAGGUGAGCGCGCUACCACUUGAGCCACAUCCCCAGCCCAAAUCUCCAACUUUCCUAAAGGAGAACGGGACCCUGAAGAGGCACGAUGACCAGAAGCCCUGCCCCUCGGGCAUCACAGGGAAAGCUGGUGACCGCUCACUGGAAAACAGGUCGCAUUACUUUUUUACUUAUCCUGAGUCGCGGGAAGGAGAAGGACGUGAGUUGAUUUCAUAGGUGAUUGAGAGCGAAGAGGCUGGAAUGCUGGUCCCCUCUUCUGGGGCCUGUUGGGAUAAAGUCCUCUUACCCGGGUCCACCCUUCAAUGUGCUGUUUCUCCACGUGUCCUCUUUGCCGCGUCCCAUGUUCCGCUCCCCAGCUGCCCACAUCCAAGAUCCCUGCUGUUCACUGUUCGCAUAGCUUUGGUCAAAACUAUGUACUUCUUCGAAACAGGGCUUUGACAUAGGUAAAAUGAAAAGUCGGAAUUAGAGAUUUCCAAGAUUCCGUGGACUCUGUCAAAACUUUAAAAAAAAAUCCAUUUUUAAAAAUAGUUUCAGAUAGACAUGUGCAAACAUGGGUCUCCCAGGGUGGUGCGUGGAACUGAAUUAGUUAACAGGGAGUCAGAAUGCGGCAUGGUGGACACUCCCAGGUGAGGUCCGUUCCUUGGACUUGCCUGAGGUCGUGUAAGCUGAACUUGGCUCUGCCUGCUGCCUCUCUCCCCACCCUGCAGGCACCUCAGUAGGAAACCCCGAUCCCCACUCUAGCUCCUGGUUGGCUCCUAGAGAAGGUGUGCAUGUCCUGUCCAUCGCCUCCCCCAGUCUCAGCAAUUGGCGUCCGCCCUUCACCUCACCAUUGAAAUCAAACCACAGAGUACGUUGGCUGUCAAAUCCAGGGACACUUUUUGUAGUUUUCAAUCAGAUCGCCCCGCUGCACGGGGCAAUCUUCUGACCAUUUCUGAGCACCCAGUCCUUAAGUUAUCCACAGUGGGGCUUUGGGUGUUCCUGUGGCGUUUCCUUCAAUAUCUCUUGACUUUCUCGUUGGUCUUCAUGAAAUUUGGUUUCCUUUUCACGGCACUUAAACACAUAUUGAAAUAAUCUCUCUCUAGUCUGUCUUCUUCACUAGGUUGUUGGUGAUUUCAAAAUAAAGAUGGUAGUCUUUACACUAUUAUGUUCCUAGGGACGGUUUUGCAGCCUUUCUUUCUUUUUCCUUUUUUGGCAGCAUGGUCUGUUGGUUUAUCCCUGUUACAGUGCUGGGUGGAUGCAAGAUCAGAUACGAUCAGAUUACCUUCAGCUGUUAGUAAACCCAGUGUCUUGAAUCCGCGCCCUGGCGGCCUCUCCAGGAGCACGUUGAGGAUGGGCGUGUGGAGCCAGCCACUGACGGAGGAGAUGUCCAGGCGCGGCUGAUCUCACCCACAUCGAGUGGUUUCACACAUUUCAAUUCCGGAGUGGAUUUUUCUAUGUCCCCAGAACAUACAGGGAGCACGUCUCAUGGGAGACUGGCUUUUACUUCUCCCAAAGCAGCAUUUCUCUUUGUCUCUCUCCCAGCCCCUUAACCAACUGCCACCACCUUCUGGUUGAGAGUAUGAAGCCGCCAGGACCCUAUUCCUGAAACUCCACUAGUUUAGCUUGUGUAUACUUGUAGAGUGCAAGUGAAUUUUAUUAAAUUAAAAAACUUAUCAUAUGCAUAUCACAUAGAAUAAUUUACUUUGGGAUAUAAUUCAUCUACUUCGUUAACAUUUUUUUUUUUUUGUGCCAGGGAUUGAACCUAGGGGUGCUUACCCACUGAGCUACAUCCCCAGCAUUUUUUAUUUUUUAUGUAGAGACAGGGUCUCACUGAGUUGCUAACGGCCUUGCUCAAUUGCUGACGCUGGCUUUGAGCUUGCAAUCCUCCUGUCUCGGUCGCCCAUGUUGCUGGGACGACAGGUCUGCGCCACCACACCCAGCCAACAUGCUCUUUGGAGUUGCUGUUUCCUCUACAUUAAGCAGAACUCUGUUAAUUACUCUCUGGAUGAAGGCUGUUUCCCCCAGGGAAGAGAGGGUGGUGGGCAGAUGCUGGAGGGAGAAAUACAGCCUCUCAGGAAGGAUGAAACAGACACCCAAAUGUAGAGUGGACUGCCAUAAUCAGAAAGCUCACGAACGACUUGGUCAAUUUUCAUUUUGUCAACUGAAGAAGCAACAGAUCCACCAGAUGGGGCUCUAAUAUUUUUUUGGUUCAGCAACUGAAAAUCCAAGUAUUUAGUGGUAUUUUUAGAGAAAAAAAUACGUCUUCUAUAUUAACCUCCAGGAGAAUUUGCCUGAGAUGGGAUUAUGACUCUAAUAAGCAUCAUCAUGGCUUGAUAUCUUUUAAUUCUCAUGAGUGACUUAUAAAGAAAGUGGUCAAUUUGCUGAAAAAUGAGGCACCCAAAAUAGUUGAAUUAAAUCAGUUCAAGUCGUUCUGAGUUAAAUCCUUCUGGAGCCUUCUUGGAGGAAAGAAACAUUUAUACAUAAAUAGGUGCAUUAUUAGUACAGUGCAUCAGCCUUUUAGCUUGGUGGAGGUUCUCUUUGGCGGAGGACAAUUCUUUUUUUUCCUUAAUUGAUUAAUUUCUUAAAUUGACAAAUGCGAUUUGUAUGUACCUGUUGUGUACAACAUGACUUUUUGAAAUGUGUAUUCAUUAUAGAAAGGCUCACGCAUCCCAGAGCUUACCGACAGCUUAAAAUGUGAAUUAUUUAAAAUUAUAUUAAGUUGUUGUGAAAUUCAUCACAGCUGCAAUAUACUCAGUCCAAUUUAGUUAUUUUGAUAGGUCACACUUUAAAUAUUGUAAAAUCAAGAUUCUUCAGGGCUGGUAUAUGAUUUUGGCAAGGGACACAUUGUGCUUCUCUUUUUCUGAGGUUUAGAUUUGGAAACCGGAGCCUCGCCUUGGACUCCUUUCUCCAUGACUCAUAACUUUUGUUCAACCUGGAAGGAAUGCCAGCUUGGGAAGAUGGCAGAGCUUUGCUUCAGGGGGAAGGUGGGUCUAAGUCACAGACGUGAGAUUGAGCUGGACCUUCAGAGUGUACUGGGUACACAUCCAUAAUGGUGGCCACAGGCGGGUCUUCAGCCCUGGGGAGCUGGAGUCUUGGGAAACGCAGGUAUCCUUACUAGAAGUGGGAGAGAGGGGCAGGUAGCAUGGGGUCUGUCUAAGGAUGGAGACUUCCUCAGGAAGCCUUGUGAAGGUAAAAGAAGGUAAAAUCACUCCCCAGGUAACCACCCUUAUACCCUCUGCUUCCAGGAAUUCAUGGAUGUGAGAUCACGUGGUACCUGUCUUUCAGUGCCUGAAUUAUUUCACUAGGGUUAUGUCCUUCAGGCUCAUUCGCAGGGUUGCAAGUGAGAGGAUUUCUGUCCUUUUUAUGGCGGAAUAAUAUUCCACUGGGCAUAUUUACUGCGUUCAUCUGCUGUCGGACACCCGGGCCAAUUCUGCAUCUUGGCUGUUGUGUUUCAGUGAACGCGGGAGUGCAGAUGUCUCCAUGACGUACCGUUGGACGUGUACCCAGGAGUGUCAUUGCUGAAUCAUAUGCCAGUUCUGUUUCUUUUUUUUUUUUUUUAUUCAGUAAAUUGUUAAAGUUUAAUUUACUCUUGAAACAAACAACAUUCUUUUAAGAAGCUGUUUUCUUGCUUUUGCACAAGGUCAAUUUAAAGUCAAUCCAGGCAAACAAGAUCAGAAAAAGCAGCAUACUCCUCUAAUCCAUUUAGCAAAUGUUGCAAAUUAGUUUCUACUUGAAUAAUCAAACAGAGAAAUGUCUGAAACUCUACAGUUGGUGUCAGUUUUAACAUGUUGAUGUCAGCCAUGACAGGUAGAAGUAGCCAAGUCCCAUAUACAUGAAGAAGCAGAAAUAAUUGUGAAGACUUAGCAGCUCUUCUAAAGAUUAAAGACAAAUUAUGUUUA